GUUCAAUAUGUGAAAAAAUACACUCUUCGAUCUCCUGGAACAUUCUGUCUCAGAGAGGACCAUGUCUACACGUCAAAGGAAAGACCAGAUCCUGGUGCUUUCCCACAAGAAGUUGCUCAAUGUGGCUACCAGGCAGGCCAAACAAAAGCCUCUGUCUGCAGACAGGAGGGCACCAACAAUGUGUCAAGCAACCUCAUCUGCAUCGUCACAAGCAUCUGCAGUGUGGAUAUCUGGUCAACAUGGUCUUUUGACAGUUGUGGAGCCCCUCUCACCAAUAAAGCUUUUGUAGGUGAAGAACCUGAAGGAUCUGAGGCUGUGCCAGUACAUGCUGGAGAAAUACUUGACUGGACUCGGGAGUAGGAGCCUAGACAUUGGCCCACAGAAGUGCUGUUCUCCUUCUUUGGAUACCCGUCACAACAACACAAUCUUCUCUGUCUACUGGAGUUGUCUUGGUUGUAGAUUUGGAGAUCCUCAAUAUCCCAGCUUAGUUCUCUAAUGUUAAGUCAUAUCGACUCUUAGCAUAGUACUUUAUUUGCCACUGUUCUUUCUACCUUUAUUUUGCCAGAAUUUUCUAUGGGUAAGUUAUUCCAUCUAUAACACUUUAUGAUGUGUAAGCCCACACGAAGGUACCCAGAGCCCCUACACAAAGUGCUCUUAUUUACCUGUGAGAAGUCCAAGCCAGUAACCCC
ensembl:lncRNA